ensembl:rRNA 5_8S_rRNA 5.8S ribosomal RNA
GACUUUUAGUGGUGGAUUACUCAGCUCCUGUGUCAAUGAAGAAUGCAGCUACCUGUGAGAAUUAAUGUGAAUUGCAGGACACAUUGAUCAUCGACCCUUCCAACGCACUUGCAGCCCGAGUUCCUCCCAGGGCUAUGCCUGUCUGAGCAUCG